UACGAAGGGUGCAAACGUUGCUCGGAAUCAUUGGGCGUAAAGCGCACGUAGGCGGCCUUGCAAGUCGGAUUUGAAAUCCCACGGCUCAACCGUGGACGUGCAUCCGAAACUGCUCGGCUCGAGUAUGGAAGAGGGUCGCGGAAUUCCCGGUGUAGAGGUGAAAUUCGUAGAUAUCGGGAGGAACACCAGUGGCGAAGGCGGCGACCUGGGCCAAUACUGACGCUGAGGUGCGAAAGCGUGGGGAGCAAACAGG
rnacentral:rRNA from 1 species